rnacentral:rRNA from 1 species
UACAGAGGUGGCAAGCGUUGUUCGGAAUUACUGGGCGUAAAGGGCGAGUAGGCGGCCUUCUAAGUCAGACGUGAAAUCCCCCGGCUUAACCUGGGAACUGCGUCUGAUACUGGGAGGCUAGAGUAUGGGAGAGGAAGGUAGAAUUCCAGGUGUAGCGGUGAAAUGCGUAGAUAUCUGGAGGAAUACCGGUGGCGAAGGCGGCCUUCUGGACCAUAACUGACGCUGAUCCGCGAAAGCUAGGGGAGCGAACGGG